UUUUCUUUGAUGUCUCCAUUCAGGCUGUUCUAGCCACUUUUUCCUUAUUCCUGAUUUUUAGGCCUGGAUUAUAAUGAGCAGUGAGACUAUAAGCAGACGAAACAUAUUUAACUUUGAAGUGCCUUCUUCAGAAGAUAGAGCUUCUCUUCCUUUUCUUGUCCCCUGCUAUUUCACUAAAACCUGGAUGUAGUUUUCAAGGUGAGUAACUAAAAACAGGUAACUAAAAACCAAAAACUAAGAUUUAGUGCAAAUUUACCCAGGACCUUACCUUGGUCUUCUUUCUGUCUUUCAGCAUCAAAGGCUUUAGUUUUCUUUCCCUUCCCCAUUCUGUAUUUUGUAGGAUUAUAGAUGUAAAACUGAGGCUUAGAAAAGUAAAGUGAAUUGCCCAAGAUUACAUAGCUAAUUGGUCAGGAUUUGAACUCAG
rnacentral:lncRNA from 1 species